AUUGAGGGUUGUUCAAUGAGGCCAAUUGUCCGCAUAAAUACAGGCUACUCCCUCGGUAAUAUGAUACCAUUCUAAUACUGGCAUUAAUUGAUUCUGGGGCGUUAAAAUCAGUGGGGCAUCAUACCUAGGACCAGAUUUUUUGAGACGCCAAUGUGCUAAUCUUACUUUCGACAGAGAACAGGAGAUGGCCCGCACAUUUUUUGAGGAUCGUUAAACACCUCGGAAUACUGCUGGAUGCACGGUAUCCAUGGCAGAACGUGUCCCAUAUCAGCGCUGUACUCGUCCAGCCAUCCCCACACCCAUGGCGUAGGCAUGCAGCUAGUAGACCGGGGCUCUCUUGAAAACUAGAUUUUUUACUAAAGGUUGAAAACUACUACUACUACUACGACAACAACUAUUACUACUACUACAAUAACUAUUACCAUUACUACUACUAAUAAUAAUAAUAAUGAUGAUGAUGAUGAUGAUGACGAUAAUAAUAAUAAUAAUAAUAAUAAUUAUUAUUAUUAUUAUUACACCAAUAGUACAAACUGAUGGACGCUACAAAAUGUUUAUGCUUGCUUCUGUUUAUUUAUUUCAAGGUUCAAAGGCUUUAUUUGUCACGUGCAUAUGCAUGUACAUACAGUGAAAUGCUGGAAAUGUAUUGGUCUGUGAACAGCAGAGGAGAGUUUCUAUUGCCUAAAGGUAUUCCUGUUCGGCCACAGAGAAAAACAGGAAAUAUAAAUUGUUUACCCAAAGGUCUUGGUUACGCAUCAAUAACUGUUGAAUCCUAUGAAGACUUUGGUAUGGACCAUUAGUUCCCUCUAGUGGAUACAUGAAAUUGAACCAUGAAUUUUGCAUGUUCAUUUUGGAAAAGACUGCAGGCAAAAAAUAGCAAUGACUCCGCGCUGUCCAUGCUGGCAUACACGGCGUUGAGCAAUUUAGCGCACCCGCUGAAUUGCCUUGUAAAGGAAUUAUUUGCAAUUUACGCUGUUUUUACUGGCUCAUGACACCAUAUAUUACCUCAACAGUGAGUAUUGUAUCCCAAAAUUGUUGUCUCGUUGUGCAUCUGUAUAUCAUUAAGGGCAACAUCCUAGGGCAACAUUUCAUUAAUUAAAUAUUGAAUCUCAGGUUAAUAAUUUGGAAAUUAGCUAAUUUAAGGGAAAAUUGUUUUCUUAAGUACAAUAUAUGGCCUAGACUAGUAAUAUUUGAUACUUUCCUGCAAUUUGUAUUUUAAAUAUAUGCAUUGUAUAGAGAAUGAAUUGUUACUUUUUUGUGAGCCAUUAAUUUUUGUAUAUGCCCAAUAGGUGGGAUAGGACACAUAUAUCCAUUUCAUGCUAUUUCACCCUGUCAAAGUCCUAAAUAUAAGGACAAAUUCUUAAAGGGGUUUAAAUAAGAAAUUUCUGUGGUUUUAAAGUAUUAUUUAAUGGAAUUAUUCCUAAAAAUCACCAUAUUGGCGAUACUGGUAGCCAGUGUUUGAUAAAUCUUUCAGACAGCCUGAGGUUGUUCUGAAAAUGUCAGACUAAAACCAGACUUGCAUAUUUGCAUUUUUAAAAUACCAAAAAAAAACCAUUUUAACAAGCUACCAAACAAGUGGCUCAUCGUAGACUGAAGCCAGUGCAGAUUAAAGGAGUUCUUUCAAAGGGUGUUCCAAAUUGGCUUCAUGGUGGAAUGUGAAAAACAUGUUUGAACCAGAAUCUCUGAGAUUAGGGCUCCCCCAGGAAACAAUGUUGGGACAUAAAUGACCUUGACAGUCGUUAGCAACACAGUAGUUAAACUUGCCAUUGACACAAAAUUGCCUGGCAAACCAUUUGGAGAAAAAUCAAGAGCACCUAAAUUGUUUCCAGAAUUAGGCAACAUUUAGAAAAACUGUCCAGUCAUGGACAUUACAGUUUAAUUAGGGCACAGAAGCACUUGCAGGUGAUGUCAGGAGUCAUGAGAUGUUUGCGGUGAUGCUUGUAUAGUGCAGGAUAUACUCCCGGCAUUAGGGUGUGCCUGUAUGGGCUAAAUGGCUUGAUCUCAUCAUAAAACAUUAUUAUGCACAUAUUAUACAGAGACUUGAAUUUAGAGAGUAUUUCUGAAUGGCUGCGUAGUACUCUAUCGUGAUUUAUAGAGUAGGUAUAUGAUUUACAGAGCACCCUUAGUGUACCCCCUAAGUGGUAUGAAAGGGAUUCAGUCAUGGUGUACCAGCCUUAUGUGCAGUCUCUCUCUCAGGAAAAGUUUGCUGGGGAUGCCUCAUUGCCCCGUGAUUUAAUACCUCUCCAAGUCUUCCUGUUCCCUCCCCAGGUUUUUACGUUCAGGACUUGGGAAUUAUUAAUGACGGAGGAUGUGCCUCUCUUUUAAUUACAAACAAACCCUGUGAUGCUCAGUGUGGGAAAACUAAUAGCCUUAAUCUUGGAAGAUUAAUUUCCCUGCUAGCUCUUACCUGAGAGCUGUUAUAUGCAGCGGUUCUUUUUUCUUCUUCUUUUUUUUUACGCACUGACAUUAUUAAUGACAUGGCCCCUGACAGGAAUAAGUGCAGCCUGAAUAACUGAACUUGUUUAAGCAAGCGUUAUUAUUGCUAUCAUUAAUUUUAUGAACACAUUGACUUCCAAAUACAUUGACCACGGUGCAUCUGAUAAAAUAACUGCAUCAACAGCAAAUAUACCAAACAAAAAAGGUAUGGUCAUGAAUCACAGCAAUUAAACCGAAUUUUGAUAACUAUGAAUUUCUUCUAUGGCAAAUUCUUGCAAAGAAUGUGUCGUAGCCUGAAAAGAAGCCAGAGAGUGGAAUGUAUUUUCACUGAAGGCAACUAAUUAUAUGAACAAAGAGUCUGGAGAAAUAGAGCUUCCAUUGUACAUUUUCUUUUCUAUUUUAACGUGAUCAAUUUUCUUGGCCGCACCGCUUAGGUAUUAUGUUUUUCCUGUGACGUUGCCGACUUUAUAUUACAGAAACACAUCCACAGAGGGCAGUAGAGAGGAAUCCAGCUGCUCAUUUGUGAGUCUCAAAGAAAACUGUUUCAAAUCAGAGCUAUAGGUGUCACCGUUGUCCAAUUUAGUACCCUCCCUACUUUGGCUCUGAUUUAAAAUGCUGUGCCUCCAGUCUAUUCCAGACUUUGUGCGCAAUGCACACCCAAAGGUACGAUGCUAUGCUAUGAUUUACAUGAUUUGAUGAUGUGAUGAGAUCACCCAUGCGCAUCCUUUCAAAAGUAAAGUAGCCGAAACAUUCUUCUAGACCUGAAGGGCCCUCGUCCUGAGACGCACCUAUUACAUCCGCUUUCGGACAGCUGUCGUAAGCUGCCUAUGGCAAACGCAGCAUUCUCUUUAAUCCUAACACAAGCCAUAAAGUAGGAUUUACAAUUUACAACUAAAAUUUACAAUUUAGCUAUUUGCCAGACGCUUUUAGUCAAAUCGACUUGCAAAAGUGAAUUUCACGUGGUCAGCAAACACCACUAGAGGCACAGUUAAAACUAUCCAAGUGCCACCUACACCGAUAAAGGGAGAAAAUGUUUUUUAUUUUUAUUUUUUUAAAUCUCAUGUUUAUUAUUUUAUGUCAUUAAGAGUUUUCACAGGUCAUCGCCUACUCAUUUCGCAAAAAAAAAAACGUUCACCACACGUAAAAUUUACAACCUUCAACCUUCAUUUCAGAAUUGAGAUAAGGAGUGGACAACAAUCUGCAGAAAUCUAAGCGUGUUUCGUUUGCAUGGCCUGUUUAGAGAAAUGGCAUA